UACGUAGGUGACCAGCGUUGUCCGGAUUUACUGGGCGUAAAGAGCGCGCAGGCGGUCGUUCAAGUCGAGUGUGAAAGCCCCCGGCUCAACUGGGGAGGGUCAUUCGAUACUGAUCGACUGGAAGGCAGGAGAGGGAAGCGGAAUUCCCGGUGUAGUGGUGAAAUGCGUAGAUAUCGGGAGGAACACCAGUGGCGAAGGCGGCAUCCUGGACCGGCAUUGACGCUGAUGAGCGAAAAGCUAGGGGGAGCAAACGGGG
rnacentral:rRNA from 1 species